rnacentral:rRNA from 1 species
CCCUUAGAUGUUCUGGGCCGCACGCGCGCUACACUGAUGCAUUCAACGAGUCUAAAACCUGCUCUGAUAGGGGUGGGUAAUCUUUUGAAUGUGCAUCGUGAUUGGGAUAGAUGAUUGCAAUUUUUCAUCUUCAACGAGGAAUGCCUAGUAAACGCAAGCCAUCAGCUUGCAUUGAUUACGUCCCUGCCCUUUGUACACACCGCCCGUCGCUCCUACCGAUUGAAUGAUCCGAUGAAUAUCAUGGAUUGAGGAUGCAAGUAGGUUCGCCUAUCUUCAUCUUCGAGAAGUGAAGUAAAUCUUAUCAUUUAGAGGAAGGAGAAGUCGUAACA